rnacentral:rRNA from 1 species
UAGGGAAUCUUCGGCAAUGGACGGAAGUCUGAUCGAGCAACGCCGCGUGAGUGAAGAAGGUUUUCGGAUCGUAAAGCUCUGUUGUAAGAGAAGAACGAGUGUGAGAGUGGAAAGUUCACACUGUGACGGUAUCUUACCAGAAAGGGACGGCUAACUACGUGCCAGCAGCCGCGGUAAUACGUAGGUCCCGAGCGUUAUCCGGAUUUAUUGGGCGUAAAGCGAGCGCAGGCGGUUAGAUAAGUCUGAAGUUAAAGGCUGUGGCUUAACCAUAGUACGCUUUGGAAACUGUUUAACUUGAGUGCAAGAGGGGAGAGUGGAAUUCCAUGUGUAGCGGUGAAAUGCGUAGAUAUAUGGAGGAACACCGGUGGCGAAAGCGGCUCUCUGGCUUGUAACUGACGCUGAGGCUCGAAAGCGUGGGGAGCAAACAGGAUUAGAUACCCUGGUAGUCCACGCCGUAAACGAUGAGUGCUAGGUGUUAGACCCUUUCCGGGGUUUAGUGCCGUAGCUAACGCAUUAAGCACUCCGCCUGGGGAGUACGACCGCAAAGGUUG